UGGUUCUGGCAUCGAUGAAGAACGCAGCGAAAUGCGAUAAGUAAUGUGAAUUGCAGAAUUCAGUGAAUCAUCGAAUCUUUGAACGCACAUUGCGCCCUUUGGUAUUCCGAGGGGCAUGCCCGUUCGAGCGUCAUUUCACCACUCAAGCCUGGCUUGGUAUUGGGCGGCGGGGCCCCCCCCGCGCCUCCAUGUGAAUAUCCGGCUGGACGGUCUGAAUCUCAGCGUUGUGGCACAAGCUCGCUCUGACAGACGACCGGACGCGCCGUUAAACCUUCUUGCAGGUUGACCUCGGAUCGGGUAGGGAUACCCGCUGA
rnacentral:misc_RNA from 1 species